rnacentral:lncRNA from 1 species
GCUAAUUGCCGAGGUCCUCUUCUAGGAUUGGUUGUCCACUCAUAACCAUAAGAUAAUUAAAACGGGGGGGGGCAGGGUAAAAAAAAAACCCUUUUAUCAGCCAUAGGUUAAUGCAAGUGUUUAACAGAUGCUUCGCUAUUAAAAUAUUUCCCCCCAAUACUGAAGAAUCUUAAACCAGCAACCCUAACAGAGAUUGCGAAGAUUUUCAAAGUGGGGCACCUCGAUUUCUCGAAUCUGUGGUGUGGCGAAUAUCCGUGUUCCUCCUGCUUAACUAGCCUGUUUGGCAGGUCUGAUUCUAUUUAUUCUAAAGACAGAGUUGGAGAUGGGCUACCAUUGGUGUUGAUUGAGAUGACAAGCAGUCACCUGAGCCCAUACAGCUGGGUUCACAGAUGUGGCUAGUCUUGCUAGCCAGCUCGCACUGUGGACAUUCUAGGGAACUGACUGCAGUCCUCAUGCUUGGAGUCAAACACUUUAACCACUGCACACGUUUAUGUAAUAGGAUUGACAUAUGAGAAUCAGAGAAAUGAAUGAAAGAUUAGAGUGGGAGAAAGUGCUUGCUGCCAAGCUUGAUGACCUAAAUUGAAUACCUGGAACCUACACGACAGAAAGAGAGAGCUGACUGCUGAAAGAUGUCCUCAGAUCUUCACAUGUGCACAGUGGCACCUAUCCAACCAUGCACAUAGUAUAUUAAAAAUUAUUUUUUAAAAAAUCCAG